UAUUGCAAUAUCAUAUGUGUAAUAAUAUAUGUCAAUUAAACUAUUCCAAGAACUUUUGUACUUGAACCCAUAUUUCGUCUGUGCAAAUGAAAUUCAUCUGCGUUUAGGACUGAUGCUUAAAGUUAAUAGUGAUUUUCGUAGUUCACUUAAACACUUACAGUUGGCAUUGGUGGAUUCAUCACCCUCGACAUUUACGGAUCUUCAAG